UUUCCGUAGGUGAACCUGCGGAAGGAUCAUUAAAGUUAUAGUUCCCCGGCCCUCUGGGCUGGGGUCUUCUAUACCACCCUUCGUUUAUUACACCUUGAUUGCUUUGGCAGGCCUGCCCGCGGGCUGCUUGCUCCGGCCGGUGACCGUCUUUAAGAGAACCUUAACUCUGUUUUUACAUGAACUCUGAGUACUAUAUAAUAGUUAAAACUUUCAACAACGGAUCUCUUGGUUCUG
rnacentral:misc_RNA from 1 species